rnacentral:misc_RNA from 1 species
CGAUAAGCCAGUGAUUAUAGUCACAGCCUGGUAACAUUAUCGUCUCUGUCUGCUCAUUGCUGCUGCUUCUUUUUAAAGAGUAAUCACCAUCAUUUGCAGCGGCACGAGUGAUGGAGAGGGAGCAAGCAGGGAGGGACGUACGUGAGUUAACUCGGAAGGGAGGAGGAAGUAGGAGACGAGAUGAAAGAGAGGGUUUAGAAGAGAAGAACAGG